GUUCGCCUGUAGGGGUGUCCUCCGCGGAGGGCUGAGAUUGCGGCGCGCUCGGCUGCUCGACCCUUCGAACCUGAAACGGCUCAUACCGACGAAGGAAACAGCAGGCGCCGUGAG
rnacentral:ncRNA from 2 species